AUGGGAGCCAGUCUAUACGGCUACCUCGACCAAACCACCGAAGAACCCUCCAAAACCAUCACCACCAAGACCAUCGAUGGCAAGGAUCAGGUCGUCAUGAACCCUGCCUAUGCCCCCUGGUUGAUCCAGGAUCAACAAAUCGUAGCAUAUCUUCUUAGGAAUCUGUCCAAGGAGGUUCUUGUCCAGGUUGCAUCUCUUGAGAAAUCACAUGCGAUCUGGAGCGCCCUAGCAAACAUGUUCUCUGCCGUCUCCUUGUCCCACGCCAACAAUAUCCGAGCUGCACUCACCAAUGCACAAAAGGGGUCUCAAUCCGCCUCUGCAUACUUCGGACACAUGCGA
rnacentral:rRNA from 1 species